rnacentral:lncRNA from 1 species
UUGUCCUUCAAGUGGAAAUAUCCUGCGUCAUGGCAAAUUUUUGAACAAAAUAAAGUGAUAAAUUAUCCCUUUUUUACACCCUUUUUUCCCCUAGGGAAUUAAUUAAAAUGACCAAAUUUUGUUGGUUUGUCAUGGUCACUUCUGGACGUCGUCCAACUCUACAUGUGUGAUCGGUGAAUCUGGACUCACUCAUUCCGUAAAGUUUGUCCAGUUUAUGCAGCGAAACUUGUAAAGCUACAGUUCCUUCUGCAGACGCCAUGGAGGGUAUUAACGUAUAAUAAACACAAGAAAGUCCUAUUUUACUUUGGUUACAUAGAGCUGAGAGGAACCUUUAGAGGAACAGCUGAGGCCUGACUUCACGUCUGCUCACACGUGCACAGGUGAUGAUGGAUGAUCCUCGAUACCACUUUGUCUUCGCGCGGUCGCCAAGCAUCUGUGAGAGCCGUCCACAGAGAGGGAUGCGAUCUCUUCUAAAGCCCCAGCGUAAAAGCCGCUUCAACGUUGGAGCUUGGGGGUAUUGUGCACACGCUCAGCAGUUCAUCUGGUCUUGAUGGCACGAGGUGAUCAGUGAGAGUGAUGUGUUAAAUAGUGACCCUGGAAUUAAACCUUAAACUUCCUGUGCUUUCUUUUAAACAAUUCGUCACUCUUUAUUCUUGUCUCAGUUCCCGUGACGACUGCCUGGGCAGCCUGCAGGCGACAAACUAAUGAUGGCGCUAAUGAAGUGUGAUUUGGAGUUUUGUCAUCACAGUGUCAUUAAUUGUGGUCGUUAGAAGCUCCGUGACCCAUUGACAACCCACUAAUCUACCCUGGUCUCCCACCAUGUCUUGUAUUCUUGUAUCAGUCAGGCAGAUUCUUCCAUUCUUAAAAACCUUAAACCUCAUCUUGAUCCAUUGGUGUCUACUUUUUACCUCCAUGCACCAAAACUGCACCAAACAUAAUCACAUAUAGAUGAAAUUAGGAUUUUAGACCAGGUCUUAUGUGACCUUCCUCCUCUCAAAUGGUCCCAGCAGGUUGGACC